rnacentral:rRNA from 1 species
GCUCGUGUCGUGAGAUGUUGGUUAAGUCCGUACGAGCGCAACCCUUGUCCUUAGUUACCAGCACGUUAUGGUGGGCGACUCUAAGGAGACUGCCGGUGACAACCGGAGGAAGGUGGGGAUGACGUCAAGUCAUCAUGGCCCUUACGGCCUGGGCUACACACGUGCUACAAUGGUCGGUACAAAGGGUUGCCAAGCCGCGAGGUGGAGCUAAUCCCAUAAAACCGAUCGUAGUCCGGAUCGCAGUCUGCAACUCGACUGCGUGAAGUCGGAAUCGCUAGUAAUCGUGAAUCAGAAUGUCACGGUGAAUACGUUCCCGGGCCUU